rnacentral:rRNA from 1 species
UGAGGAAUAUUGGUCAAUGGGCGCAAGCCUGAACCAGCCAUGCCGCGUGCAGGAUGAAGCAUCUAUGGUGUGUAAACUGCUUUUGUACGGGAAGAAACACCUCUACGUGUAGAGGCUUGACGGUACCGUAAGAAUAAGGAUCGGCUAACUCCGUGCCAGCAGCCGCGGUAAUACGGAGGAUCCAAGCGUUAUCCGGAAUCAUUGGGUUUAAAGGGUCCGUAGGCGGUUUUAUAAGUCAGUGGUGAAAUCCGGCAGCUCAACUGUCGAACUGCCAUUGAUACUGUAGAACUUGAAUUAUUGUGAAGUAACUAGAAUAUGUAGUGUAGCGGUGAAAUGCUUAGAUAUUACAUGGAAUACCCAUUGCGAAGGCAGGUUACUAACAAUUGAUUGACGCUGAUGGACGAAAGCGUGGGGAGCGAACAGG